CAGCCGCCGCGGUAAUACCGGCGGCCCGAGUGGCGGUCACUAUUAUUGGGCUUAAAGCGUCCGUAGCCGGGUUGGGAAGUCCUCCGGGAAAUCUGGCCGCUUAACGGUCAGAAUGCCGGAGGAUACUCCCAGCCUAGGGAGCGGGAGAGGCCGAGGGGAUUCCCGGGGUAGGGGUGAAAUCCUAUAAUCCCGGGAGGACCACCUGUGGCGAAGGCGCUCGGCUGGAACGCGUCCGACGGUGAGGGACGAAGGCCAGGGGAGCAAACCGGAUUAGAUACCCGGGUAGUCCUGGCUGUAAACGAUGCGGACUUUGUGUCGGACAAGCUAUGAGCUUGUCCGGUGCCGGAGGGAAACCGUUAAGUCCGCCGGCUGGGGAGUACGGCCGCAAGGCUGAAACUUAAAGGAAUUGGCGGG
rnacentral:rRNA from 1 species